AGGGACCUGUGCUCCUGUCUUGUUAUGUGGUUACAGAAUGCUCCAUGAAUCGUUAGAAACUGUGGAAUCCAGAUAAGGGAAGGCAGUUCUCCCUAGAGCUGAAGUUUUGGGUGAUGGUGAGCAGCCUGAAACAGAACUGAGCUCAGAAAACCACUGAUGUAUACUGAGUUCAUGUAAUGACUGAAGAAGACAGUGAGGCUGGCAAAGCCUGGCUCUUAGCUGGGUUUGUCCAACCCACCGCCUGCUUGGAAAAGUAAACGUUUAUUGAGGAAUUGAGGAGUCUGUAAUGAACUUGCCAUGCAAUCACAAGGAUCCGAGUUAACACCUCUCCCUGAACCUGGCCAAUACCGAUUGCCUAGACUGGUUAGCUCCUGAGACCCUGAGGCAUCCUCCCGUUGCCUCUCCAGGACUGUGUUUUCAGCUGAGACAGGCUGACAUUUUCAAAAGAACCUCAGCACUCCGAGAGCAAAAAGGAGCAGGGCAGAAAAUCAAGAGCUGAACCUUCACAGAGUCUAUCAUGCUAUCCCAGGAUAUAUGGGGUCUUCACUCCUGUGAACAUAGAACACUUGAUAAGGAGGAGAAACCUAGGUCCAAAGCUGCCAGGAUAUUUUACCUAAGGACACAAAUGAAACCAGGGGCCAGAAGAAGGUAUUGGAAUCUCUGGAGCUGAAGCUAUCAUCAGUUGAGGACAACCUUACCUGGGUGCUAGGAACUGAAGUCAGGUCUUCUGUAGGAACAGUACACACUCUUUUUAUUAUUAACUAUUUUUAUUUAGUUAAAAUUUUUAUUACAAUUUAUUCACUUUGUAUCCCAGCUGUAGCCCCUCCCUCGUCCCCGCCCAAUCCUGACCUCCCUCCCUCUUUCCUCCCAUGCCCUUUCCCCAGUUCACUGAUAGGAGAGGUCCUCAUCCUCUUCCAUCUGACCCUAGCCUAUCAGGUCUCAUCAGGACUGGCUGCAUUGUCUUCCUCUGUGGCCUGAUAAGGCUGCCUCCCCACCCCCCAUCAGAAGGAGGUGAUCAAAGAACCAGCCACUGAGUUCAUGACAGAGACAGUCCCUGUUCCCCUUACUACUUGGAAACUGAGUUGCCCUGGGCUACAUCUGUGCAGGGGAUUCUAGGUUAUCUCCAUGCAUGCUCCUUGAUUGGCAUAUCAGUCUCAGAAAAGACCCCUGUGCCCAGAUAUUUUGGUUCUGUUGCUCUCCAUGUGGAGCUCCUGUCCCCUCCAGGUUUUUCUAUCUCCCCAUUCUUUCAUAAGAUUCCCUGCUCUCUGCCCAAAGUUUGGCUAUGAGUCUUAGCAUCUGCUUUAAUCACUCUUAACCUCAGUGAUACUAAGACUUAGUGGCUUUGAACUACAGUGCCACACAACAGUAAUGAUAUUGAAUAAAAUAUUUCUGGCUGCUGUGCUGAAAGUAGACGAAGGGUUAAGGGGGUAGAAACAGGCACCCUAGCAGAAGGGCAUGGGAAAGCCCCAAAGGAAGAGGUAGUGGGAGAUGGAAGGAAGUGUUAUAAGCAGUGGUGGAAUUCCAGAAAUUUUCAAAAUUGAUUCGAACACAUGUCCUCAGGAUUGAUGACAAAGUACAUGGUGGCAGACAAACUAUAAAACCAAGACAGUAUCAUGCAUUUAACAUCAAAACAAGAAGAAUAAGUCUGCCAUGAGCUCAGACAAGGCAGACCUAAAGCAUCAGAUGUUAACAUUAGGGGUUGGGGAGAAGGUUUGGAGGGAACAACAUUUGCUGUUCAAGUGUGAGGACCUAGUUCAAAUAUCUGCACCCACACCAAGCCAGACACAGGAGAAAAACUGUCAUUUCAGUGCUCCUAUCGACAGCUGGAAGACAGAGACGGGAGAUUCCUGGGAAGCUCACAGGCCAGCUCGCCUGGCAUACACCCCAUUAAGAAAGGUAUCCUGUGUCAAACACAGUGGAAGAUGUGGUUGUCCCCUGACCACACAUAAUGAAUCUGAACAUCCCAUUGAUGGUGGAAAUCAGAUUGUUCUCAGACUUGUGUAUGUGUAAGCACCCCUGAAAUAUUUGCAAGGCUGCAUUUCUAUUGGAACUUUUAAGCUGAAAGUUGAUUGGUACCCAGAGGACCAUUAUUUAUUUGCCUGUUUAUUUUUGUUUUGCUUUGCUUUUGUUUUGAGAUCUCAAAACAAACCGUAGCUCAGGCUAGUCUUGUAAUCACACAGGCCUCUUACCACAGUCCUCAUGUACUAAGAUUAUAGGUGGGAGACACUGUGCCUGGAAAGAAAGACACACUUUUUUAAAGGUUUGUUUUAUUUGUGUGUGUGUGUGUGUGUGUGUGUGUGUGUGUGUGUAUAGUUUGAUGUGAGUGCUGGAAUCCAAAUUCCAUUCCUCUGAUAGAGCAGUAACUAAUGAGCCAUUUCUCCGUGCAGGUGGGGCCCUUCCUUGGCCCAUCUUAUCUUAAGGACACAGUUGCAUUGCCUACAGAGUGUUUACCUUGCCUGAUUUAUUUUUUUGUAUAUUCGCUGUAUGUAACAGAGGACUAUGUAUUCCUCUGUUAGAAGGUACAUACCAUGAGCACAAGGUCUGAGUGGGCCUCUUGGCAGCACAGACCAGGCACUCAGUCAACACUGACACCAUUGGUACAGGCAUUCAUGCAUGCUAGCAUUGUUUUGAACAGGAUGCAUUUCUCAAAAGUGUUGUUGUUAUCAUAAAUUGUAUUUUUAAUUAUACUAAUAUUACCAGAUUAAUUUCUUAAAAGAUUAAAGCGAUUCAUGCUCCCACUGUGACUUUUUGAAAGCAGUCAUUCCUUGUAUCAGCCCAAAACAUUCGGUGAUCUUAUCCUUUGAUGUUUAACUUCAAAACUCCUUUAAAAAAAAUUCAAUCUCUCUGUUUCUAACAGCGACUAAUAGCUGAAGUAACUCACACACUGUUAAAAAAUGAAU